rnacentral:rRNA from 1 species
GUCUUGUACACACCGCCCGUCACACCAUGGGAGUGGGUUUUGCCAGAAGUAGUUAGCCUAACCGCAAGGAGGGCGAUUACCACGGCAGGGUUCAUGACUGGGGUGAAGUCGUAACAAGGUAGCCGUAUCGGAAGGUGCGGCUGGAUCACCUCCUUUC